rnacentral:rRNA from 1 species
UGGGGAAUUUUGGACAAUGGGCGCAAGCCUGAUCCAGCCAUGCCGCGUGCAGGAUGAAGGCCUUCGGGUUGUAAACUGCUUUUGUACGGAACGAAACGGCUCUUUCUAAUAAAGGGGGCGUAAUGACGGUACCGUAAGAAUAAGCACCGGCUAACUACGUGCCAGCAGCCGCGGUAAUACGUAGGGUGCAAGCGUUAAUCGGAAUUACUGGGCGUAAAGCGUGCGCAGGCGGUGAUGUAAGACAGAUGUGAAAUCCCCGGCUCAAGCCUGGGAACUGGCAUUGUGACUGCAUUCGCUGGAGUGCGGCA